rnacentral:tRNA from 1 species
CCCGCAGUCGUGGCCGAGGGGUUAAGGCGAUGGACUAGAAAUCCAUUGGGAUCUUCCCGCACAGGUUCGAAUCCUUUUCCGGGG